rnacentral:rRNA from 1 species
AGAGUUUGAUCAUGGCUCAGAUUGAACGCUGGCGGAAUGCUUUACACAUGCAAGUCGAACGGCAGCACGGGAGCUUGCUCCUGGUGGCGAGUGGCGAACGGGUGAGUAAUGUAUCGGAACGUACCCCGUCGUGGGGGAUAACUCUCCGAAAGGAGAGCUAAUACCGCAUACGACCCGAGGGUGAAAGCGGGGGACAUGGGGUAACCUGGGCCUCGCGCGAUGGGAGCGGCCGAUAUCGGAUUAGCUAGUUGGUGGGGUAAAGGCCUACCAAGGCGACGAUCCGUAGCGGGUCUGAGAGGACGACCCGCCACACUGGAACUGAGACACGGUCCAGACUCCUACGGGAGGCAGCAGUGGGGAAUUUUGGACAAUGGGCGCAAGCCUGAUCCAGCCAUUCCGCGUGAGUGAAGAAGGCCUUCGGGUUGUAAAGCUCUUUCAGCAGGAACGAAACGGUGGGUCUUAAUACGGCCUGCUAAUGACGGUACCUGCAGAAGAAGCACCGGCUAACUACGUGCCAGCAGCCGCGGUAAUACGUAGG